rnacentral:lncRNA from 1 species
CUCGAGCUCGGCGCGGACCCGCCCGGGCGCGCUCCUCCCGCGGCUCCCGGCGUCCCGCCGCCCAGCCCGGAGCGGGCCCGCGGGCCCCGCCACCCUGGAGGGCGCCGCCGGCACCCGGCGCGGAGGCUCGCCGGCGGAGGUCGCUGCGGGGGGCUAGACCCCGGCGGCGCGCCGCUCUCCCCCCGCAGGUCUUCCUUUGAAAUAGUGGAUGGUGACUCGGCUCUUCUGCCUGAGAGUGGUUCAAAAUGAUUUCUCUGUAACAGUCUCCAGGUGGCCUAGGUGCUAAACAGGCACUUCCCCUUUGCUUCAAGGAUUA